UACGUAGGGGGCAAGCGUUGUCCGGAAUCAUUGGGCGUAAAGAGCGCGUAGGCGGCCCUGUAAGUCCGCUGUGAAAGUCAAGGGCUCAACCCUUGGAUGCCGGUGGAUACUGCAGGGCUAGAGUCCGGAAGAGGCGAGUGGAAUUCCUGGUGUAGCGGUGAAAUGCGCAGAUAUCAGGAGGAACACCGAUGGCGAAGGCAGCUCGCUGGGACGUUACUGACGCUGAGACGCGAAAGCGUGGGGAGCAAACAGG
rnacentral:rRNA from 1 species